rnacentral:rRNA from 1 species
UACGGAGGAUCCAAGCGUUAUCCGGAUUUAUUGGGUUUAAAGGGUGCGUAGGUGGCCCUGUAAGUCAGUGGUGAAAUAUCUCAGCUUAACUGGGAGGGUGCCAUUGAUACUGCAGGGCUUGAGUACAGAUGAGGUAGGCGGAAUUGACGGUGUAGCGGUGAAAUGCAUAGAUAUCGUCAAGAACACCGAUAGCGAAGGCAGCUUACCAAGCUGUAACUGACACUGAGGCACGAAAGUGUGGGGAUCAAACAGG